AGUAGAAUUGCUGGGUCACAUAGUAACACUGUCGAACAUUUUUAGGAAUCAUCAAACUGUUUUCCAAAGUGGCUGUAUCAUUUUACAGUCUCACCAACAAU
rnacentral:pre_miRNA from 1 species